UUGUUCCUUCGGGGUCGGGUGAAAUUCCCAACCGACGGUGAUACGAAUGUGAUCAUUCGUUAAGUCCGUGACCCGGAUCACGCUCAAUUGUGACGUGAGAAGGUGGACUCGGUGUAAAUCCGAGACCGACAGUAAAGUCUGGAUGGGAGAAGGGAACG
rnacentral:ncRNA from 1 species